UCAUGGUUUAAUACUCUCUGCAUAGUUUUUCAGCUGAGAGGCCUGAUAGCGGUCAACUGUAAUAUUCAACUAAACGACUUCCAUCAGAAGUUCAAUCAAAAUUAAUGGGAAUUAAAUCAAAAGGAUAUUUCUCAGGUUUUUUGGGGAUUAUAACGGUGUGUUUUUGAAAGUCAUCAUGUCCUUUGCAUCUGAAGAAAUAAUCCCAUACGAACCUGACAUUUAUCGACCACCAGUAUAUUCAUUUUUCACCAAUUUUGGAGAACUUCACGAUGAGCAUGGCUGGGAGUAUCACUCUGACCGGGGCAUGCACCAGAGUGACAUGUUGGAAAUCUCCACACAAGGGAAUCACCUGACAGAGCUCCAGAGUGUCCAUUCCCAACAGCUCCUCCACCCCUAUCGCUACCCCGAUACCGACACCCUCCACCUGCCAUUAGCAGACCCAGGACUGGGACCCUUAACCCCACA